ACUUAGGCACGGGCAGAUCUGAGAGUGAUGAAAAAAGAUCAGUUUAUAAGUUUUAACAUAGUCUUAAAAGUUGAAAAACACUCAAAUAAAUAACGAUUUCUGUCAAAAAAGAACUAGUUUCACACGACACAAAGCUAUACGUAGCGAUAAGAACAUAAUUCUGGUUGGGAACCAGCUGCUGCUAAGAGUUGCCACUCGCCAAGGUUCAGCCAAUCACCCGGAUCGGGCAGCCACCAGAGGCAGAGAAGGCAGGCGAAAUUGUCCUGUACAUUAAAACCAGUACCAUGAUUUAUACCGUCUUCGAAAUCCUUUGACCUUCUGUGUAACGCCACUUUACGAUAAAGUUUGAUUAUUUAUCACACCCUUCGGAAGGAAGGUUCUUAGCGUUAGCUUCUCACCCAAAACCAGCUGAGCAUUUUUCCCAGGCUAGCUAGCUGUGUGUGCUUCUCUCCACCGGCCUGGAACUCUCACACCACCAACACAACUUUUGGCAUCAUCAAAUUCGAGAAAAUUUUCAUAAAAUACUCACACUCACACACACACAAACCGGUAGCAGCAGUCAGCCUCCGGAGUAGGAGCGGCGGCACGCAAAUAGAAGACGACGAAGGCACACUACCAGCAGCUAUUCGAAAUUGUCUUCUGAUCGGAAGAAAACUGCAUAGGCGAUAAAUUUCAAUAAGGUUCUCCACAAACGUAGAUCUUCAAGUUUCCUGCGAGCUUAGAGGUGAAGAAUGAAAAGGAGAGGCGAUCGGUGUGGAGGGUAGAUGAGCCAUUUCCAUAUCUCACAUUUCAAGAAGGUCUCCUCCGACUCUCCCUCCGUGUUCUCCGGUAUGAACCUAGCUCGUUUGUGUUGUAGGUUAACCAAGACGACCAACUCGGGGAUGAACCGAGGUCCAUUUGAAAGCACAAGACGAAGAUGGGAAUGCUCCGCUCGAAAAGAAUAAUGGGAAUGAUAGCAUUCUAAAACAAAUUUGAAACAAAUCUAACGCAAUUAGUGACGUUAUUCAUUCCGCAUACGAGCAUUCAACGUGACGCAUUCUUUACUCCUAGAGAAACUGAAGAAGUGCUCGGAGUUGAGGUUUUUCAAAAGACUGCACCGCGGUCGGUCCACUUGGAUUCUGGUUUACGGAGGGAAAGACAGAGCGGCGUCAAAGGAGGAUUUUUUCGCAAUUGUGUUCGGUAGAGGUAAAGGAUUUUUUGAAAAGAAGUUUGAGGCGCAAAACGACUUCUUGCCGGCAGGGGUGCGAAAUCGCAAACAAUGAAGGCAAAGCAUCUGCCUGUUCGGCUUCAUGCUUCUUUUGAAGCCAUAAACAUGACUCCAGCCGUUUGAUAUCAGGUAUACAAUCGCUACUUGAACCAGUUUUGAUUAUUUCCUAUCAUUUUAUUGUCGCUUUUGAAUGUAAUGGCGAAUAUUUUAUUUUUUU